UAGGGAAUCUUCCGCAAUGGACGCAAGUCUGACGGAGCAACGCCGCGUGAGUGAAGAAGGAUUUCGGUUCGUAAAACUCUGUUGUUAGAGAAGAACAGCGCAUAGAGUAACUGUUAUGCGUGUGACGGUAUCUAACCAGAAAGCCACGGCUAACUACGUGCCAGCAGCCGCGGUAAUACGUAGGUGGCAAGCGUUGUCCGGAUUUAUUGGGCGUAAAGCGAGCGCAGGCGGUCAAUUAAGUCUGAUGUGAAAGCCCCCGGCUCAACCGGGGAGGGUCAUUGGAAACUGGUUGACUUGAGUGCAGAAGAGGAGAGUGUAAUUCCAUGUGUAGCGGUGAAAUGCGUAGAUAUAUGGAGGAACACCAGUGGCAAAGGCGACUCUCUGGUCUGUAACUGACGCUGAGGUUCGAAAGCGUGGGUAGCAAACAGG
rnacentral:rRNA from 1 species